rnacentral:rRNA from 1 species
UUGACAAUUUGACCUCAAAUCAGGUAGGACUACCCGCUGAACUUAAGCAU